rnacentral:rRNA from 1 species
CCUGGUUGAUCCUGCCAGUAGUCAUAUGCUUGUCUCAAAGAUUAAGCCAUGCAUGUCUAAGUAUAAACAAAUUUGUACUGUGAAACUGCGAAUGGCUCAUUAAAUCAGUUAUAGUUUAUUUGAUGGUACAUUACUACAUGGAUAACUGUGGUAAUUCUAGAGCUAAUACAUGCGUUAAAAUCCCGACUUACGAAGGGAUGUAUUUAUUAGAUACAAAACCAAUUCGUGGCAACACGAUAUUGGUGAGUCAUAAUAACUUUUCGAAUCGCAUGGCCUUGAGCCGGCGAUGCAUCAUUCAAAUAUCUGCCCUAUCAACUUUGGAUGGUAGGAUAGAGGCCUACCAUGGUUUUAACGGGUAACGGGGAAUAAGGGUUCGAUUCCGGAGAGGGAGCCUGAGAAACGGCUACCACAUCCAAGGAAGGCAGCAGGCGCGCAACUUACCCAAUCCCGACACGGGGAGGUAGUGACAAUAAAUAACAAUACAGGGCUCUUUUGGGUCUUGUAAUUGGAAUGAGUACAAUUUAAAUACCUUAACGAGGAACAAUUGGAGGGCAAGUCUGGUGCCAGCAGCCGCGGUAAUUCCAGCUCCAAUAGCGUAUAUUAAAGUUGUUGCUAUUAAAAAGCCCGUAGUUGAAUUUGAGGAGUAAAGUUUAGGUCCAUUGAAAGAUGAGUACUUUAACUUUAUUCCUUCCCUUGUAGUGAACUAUAUUGAAGAAAUUUGGUAUAGGGAACUAUGAAUUUUACCUUGAGAAAAUUAGAGUGUUCAAAGCAGGCCUACGCCGGAAUACAUUAGCAUGGAAUAAUAAAAUAGGACGAGUGAUUCUAUUUUGUUGGUUUAUAGAACCACCGUAAUGAUUAAUAGGAACAGUUGGGGGCAUUAGUAUUCAGUUGCUAGAGGUGAAAUUCUUGGAUUUACUGAAGACUAACUACUGCGAAAGCAUUUGCCAAGGAUGUUUUCAUUAAUAAAGGACGAUGGUUGGGGGAUCGAAAAUGAUUAGAUACCGUUGUAGUCCCAACAGUAAACUAUGCCGACUGAGGAUUGGAUGACGUUAUAUUAUUGACUCAUUCAGCACUCUGCGAGAAAUCAAAGUUUUUGGGCUUAGGGGGGAGUAUGGUCGCAAGGCUGAAACUUAAAGGAAUUGACGGAAGAGCACCACAAAGAGUGGAGCCUGCGGCUUAAUU